GUGUUUUCUUUUUUCCUGUACUUUGACAAUUUAAUAUAUCACAGACACAGUAAAUGAUUUCACUGACGCCUGUGGCAGAUGCUGUGACCCGUUUACACGGCACCUUUAUAAAGGAGGGUCAGCAGUGGUCAGAUUAGUUCAGUGCAUCUGUCAUCAGCUCGUAUAACUGUGGCCAUGGUAACAACAUAGGCGUCAACGUUAACUAAAUCUGGUUUACAUCAUGCUUAUCGACUCAUAAAGCUCACUGAGCAAAUCGCGAUUAUGUAAAACAAUAGCGCGGUUACGUUAAUUUAGGAUGAUCCCCGAUAUCUAAAAAAAAUUAGGUGAAGAAUUAGACUUAUACAAUCGCCUCGUAUGAGGUUUGAAUAAAACAGCAUCGUUAAAAACGGACGAUGGGCUCGAAAUGAGCCGGGAUAACCCCAAAUCACGCACGAAAUGCACAGAGAAGCCAAGAUCGUCGUUCAUUUGCAUGCAUCGAGACGACAGAUGACGGUCUUACCAGGGUCUUCGCCACGUUCCCCCUCUGAGUGAUGUUUUUGCUGUGCUUCUCGUUUGCCAUGCGGAUUCUUUGUUUUGCUACCAUCUUCCGACCCAGCGUCCAGGGUGGCCAGAUGAAACCCGCUGAGCUGUCUCUGCCGCCCAAGACAAAGGGGACACUCAGCAUUACUCCGGGAUCACAGCCAGAAGGAGAAAGGAGCUGAAGGAAGCUUUUAUUCACCGCAAGAUGAAGUUUAGCAGCCACAGGAGGAAACCGCAACAAGAAGACACAGGCUGUUUAAAUCAAAAGAUCAAAAGG
ensembl:lncRNA